CCUACGGGUGGCAGCAGUGGGGAAUAUUGCACAAUGGGGGAAACCCUGAUGCAGCGACGCCGCGUGCGUGACGAAGUCUUUCGGUAUGUAAAGCUCUAUCAGCAGGGAAGAAGCAAGACGGUACCUGACUAAGAAGCCCCGGCUAACUACGUGCCAGCAGCCGCGGUAAUACGUAGGGGGCAAGCGUUAUCCGGAUUUACUGGGUGUAAAGGGAGCGUAGACGGUAUGGCAAGUCUGAAGUGAAAGGCGGGGGCUCAACCCCCGGACUGCUCUGGAAACUGUACGGCUGGAGUGCAGGAGAGGUAAGUGGAAUUCGUAGUGUAGCGGUGAAAUGCGUAGAUAUUAGGAGGAACACCAGUUGCGAAGGCGGCUUACUGGACUGUAACUGACGUUGAGGCUCGAAAGCGUGGGGAGCAAACAGGAUUAGAUACCCGAGUAGUC
rnacentral:rRNA from 1 species